AGCCAAAAACUAUUUUGCACUUAUUUUACAACUGUGCCUCCUCUAACAUAUUUUGGAGGGAACUGGAGAAAGCUAUUUUUAACAAAACCAGAAAACAUAUCUCAAUAUCUCCAAG